GACGAACGCUGGCGGCGUGCUUAACACAUGCAAGUCGAACGGUGAAGCGCCUUCCUUUUUGGUGGGUGUGGAUGAGUGGCGAACGGGUGAGUAACACGUGAGUAACCUGCCCCCUUCUUCUGGAUAACCGCAUGAAAGUGUGGCUAAUACGGGAUAUUCUGGGUCUGUCGCAUGAUGGGUCUGGGAAAGAUAUUGUUUCGGUGGGGGAUGGGCUCGCGGCCUAUCAGCUUGUUGGUGGGGUGAUGGCCUACCAAGGCGGUGACGGGUAGCCGGCCUGAGAGGGUGGACGGUCACACUGGGACUGAGACACGGCCCAGACUCCUGCGGGAGGCAGCAGUGGGGAAUAUAGCACAAUGGGCGCAAGCCUGAUGCAGCGACGCCGCGUGAGGGAUGGAGGCCUUCGGGUUGUGAACCUCUUUCGCCAGUGAAGCAGGCCUGCCUCGUUUGUGGGUGGGUUGACGGUAGCUGGAGAAGAAGCGCCGGCUAACUACGUG
rnacentral:rRNA from 1 species